CGCUUUCCGCUGUGGAGUUUGGGGCCAAGGUCUUGGACGCGGUCUGUCUGAAGCACUUCACAGGAAGUUUCCCAUGUUGAGGUGGUUGUCCAAGCCCAGGUGUCCUGGUCCCUCACUCUAACCCCCUGCUGUAGGCAUCAGUAACAUGGUCGCCAACCUGCCAAGCCCGCACCCUCUGCAUCAGCCCAGAGAAGCUGAACUUCAUCGUCUCUGACAAAGUAGCCAACGGAGAUGUGAGCAUGUGGUGUGAGCUGGACGAGACAUCAUGAGUAACAAGAUUGUCCACUUUGAUUGUUCCAUGAAGAUGUCUCCCUGUAGCACUUCAUCCCGGCCUCCUCGUAGCCACAGGCCGCCCGCUCUCAUCCCGGGUGAUGUGCCCACCCCGCUGGAGCUCACGGCACACGGUUGGAUGAUCGUGCUGUUUCAUACUCCUUUGCCCUUGUGUCUGUUUCGUUGUUGAGACGUGGGGAAGAAGAGGAAGAAAUUCUCUAUGCGGACUUUGGUUCGGCCGAAGUUUCUGGAAGCUGCCUGUCCCUGGCUCUUCUCCCAGAGCCAGAUGACGGCCCAGGAUGACCCACCUGCUGCCUCGGUUCCGCAGAGCAUCUCAGGGUCUGUCAGGGGCAUCUGGCUGCAGCGCGUGGAGCCCUCGCUGCCAGUCCUCCUGUGUUCACGGGGCCAGCGUCCCUACCAGGUCAUGAUCUUCAACCCUCCGUCUCCCACGUGCAGGGCUGUGACGGCCUGGAAAGCACAGCGUGUGUGUAGCGGAGGGACAGGGACCUCCGGUAGCCUGUGUUCAGCGCUGAGACCACGUCUGUUUGCACAUGUGAGCUGGCUCAGGCCUGUCCAUCUGCUGUCUCAUCCGCCGGGGCCGCCCUUCACGUCCCACCGUGGCAGCCUCUCGCCUGCCCUGUGAACGGGAGCAUCGUGGACGGUGUCUUAACUCACGUGACAAAGCCGAGAAGGGGGGUGGAAGAAGUGGGAAAUAUGCAAAAUGGAAAUUUUCCUUCAUGACCUUUUCUGAGUACUCGGUACGAGCUGGGUACCUGAGCGCUUCUUCUGAUGCUAGUCUGUGUGCCUUCUGAUGGCACGUGACACUUGUGCACGUCCCCCCAUGUGAGUCCAUCGUUGACCUUGAAGCCUCUCUCCUCUCCUCGGUGUGUGGCCACGUUAAUUCCAGCUCCGGCAAUAAAGCAUAGAAAUCCUCGAUGGGCCAGUGCCUGAAAACAGUUCACAAAAGCAGUUUGGUUCCGUUUUUUUUUGUGUUUUGGGGUUUUUUUUUGUUUGUUUUGGUUAAACAAAAUGUAUUAGUGAGUCACCAAUCUGGAAAAUUGGUUACUUCUCAUUAUUUAAUUGAUUUCUAACGUGUAAUGUAAAUAAAAUGCUGUUUGUUAGCAUAAGUUA